AAGGGCCAUCAGCAGAAAUAUUCUUUAAAAAAAAAAAAAAAGUUUUAAAAACUACACGACACGACACAAAACUCCCGGCACACCCGUCAGUUAGUAUAACGCGUAGUUGUGAUCGGACUUUGGAAAGCGUUUGUUUAUUUAUUUAUGUAUUUCCAAAAAAGUGGAUUGCUAGACCAUGGGGUCCUUAAGGACCUUGAUUGGGGUGCGGGGGGGUCAAAUCUUCGCUUGUCAAGGGCUCGUGCGAUGCUUAUCAACGCGGAUCCAAGGCUGCACGCACUGAGAAGUCCGCAAGGAGAGUCACUCAGGGGACGCGUUUGAUUAUUCGAAUGGCCUGUGAUGUCAACGCCGACAGAUUUUCGUCUGUAAUAAAGUUUCAUUGUAUUUA